rnacentral:lncRNA from 1 species
GUCCUCUACUAGAAAAUAUGCAGAUAUGAGCCACACCAUCUAUUGGAAAAAUCAGGGAUUAUCUGCAGAAGGAAAAGCAGGCACUCCUGGCAGAGAGGCUGUGGAAAUGAGUUGUGAACACGUGUGGUCUUUUCCAGGAUUUUGAAUCUCAACAAGUGACACAAAGAAGCAAGGUAUUUAGAAUUCAUUCUGGUGGUGGCAGCAGUAGUAACAUCCAUGUUCUGGAGCUGCAUUAGAAGUGUAUUAACAAAUUAACAAUAAUUUUUUUUUUUUUUUUU